rnacentral:pre_miRNA from 18 species
AGUCCUCUCGGCUCAGGUUCUGUGGUACACUUGGACUCGGACUCUGGAGCAGUCAGUGCAUGACAGAACUUGGGCUUGGACGGACC